rnacentral:rRNA from 1 species
UACGGGAGGUGCGAGCGUUGUCCGGAAUCACUGGGCGUAAAGGGCGCGUAGGUGGCGUCGUAAGUUUGUGGUGAAAGCCCGGAGCUCAACUCCGGGUCUGCCGCGAAUACUGCGAGGCUUGAGUACUGUAGAGGGGGGUAGAAUAUCGGGUGUAGCGGUGGAAUGCGUAGAGAUCCGAUAGAAGACCGGUGGCGAAGGCGGCCCCCUGGGCAGUAACUGACACUGAGGCGCGACAGCGUGGGGAGCAAACAGG